rnacentral:rRNA from 1 species
GAUGAACGCUGGCGGCGUGCCUAAUACAUGCAAGUCGAACGAGGUGCUUUUGUAGCAAUACGAAAGUAUCCUAGUGGCGAACGGGUGAGUAACGCGUUGGUGACCUACCCCAAAGUGUGGGAUAACAGUUCGAAAGAACUGCUAAUACCGCAUGUGGUUAUCGGAUUUAGAAACUGAUAACUAAAGGAGCAAUUCGCUUUGGGAGGGGACCUGCGUCCCAUCAGCUAGUUGGUGAGGUAAUGGCUCACCAAGGCUACGACGGGUAGGGGACCGUGAGAGGGUGGACCCCCACCAAUAGACGUAGAA